UUUAUACGAGAUAACAAUAAAAUAUAGAAAAGUAAUUAAUGUAAUUUUUAUUUUUUUUAUAGAAGGAUAAUUAAUACAGACGCUAAAUUGUAAUAAGGCUUUUUUUUUUUUUUUUUUAAAGAAAAACUUCAAAUACCACUCUUGUGGUUUCACACUUUCUCAUUUUAGUGCCAUGUGGUUUAAAGUGUAUCAAUUUAGUAUCCCGUUGUUUUCUUUUUAUUUUUUUAUUAUAGAUUCCACUAAUUUUUUUCGUUAAAUUAGUAACAAAUUUAAAACUAAAGGGUACUAAAGUGAAUAUUCGAUAAACCUAGGUUGGGUAUCUGUGUCACCUCCCGGAUGUCACGUUUCCCGGGCGCGCCGACAAAUCCGCCGUACACAAAAAAAUUUUUCCUAUAUACGAAGCGUAACUGUACCUGUAACAUAUACAAUACUACAACCAGUAGUAUAGAGCUGCUCGAAAAAAAACUGAUAAAAACAUGAACAAGUUCUAUAUACAUGCAUACAUACAGGUAUACAAAAGCUCACCUAGCUAAAUACAACAAGUAUGUAUAAGAAACUAAAAAACUAGCACUACCCGCAACUGGUAACCUCUCGAACAACAGCAACGGAGAAGGGCUCUAACUGGCAACGUCUUUACCACGAUCAGUCUCCGAGGAAGCAGCAGUCGGAAUAGUAGGCUCUGCAAAAAUAGGAUAACAACUGGGCGUGAGAACUACUGUAAAAACAAGUAGUCAUCAGUGGGUGUCGCCCUCAACAUCGUCGGUCCACCCACCAAGUUUACAGAAGGAAGCAAAGAUAGUAGGAAAAGUUGAAAGAAAUCUACAGUUAAAUGCCACUACACUAUCCUGCUCUACACUAACCAACUGUAAAAAAAGUCAAUUCUGACCCAAUCUCACUAGGACUAUAAGCAUAUCCGUCCUUGGGACUGUGAUCACACCCGUCCCGCCCGGUUGUGACUAUACAGCUACCUCCAUGCUAAGCAGUCAGUGGAGAGCGAGUCCAACCUGCACGAACGACACCAACGCAAAAGCACAGCGCCCGCCUCCGAAGUGGCACUCGUGGGAGCUACCCAACUAAGUAUGCAAGCGUAUUUCUGUCGAGCUCAAUCCGGCUCACACCAGCCAAAGUCAAAUAAAUCGGGUCUAACUGGUUUAACAACUAACAGGUCACAUGCGCUCGGCACAAUCUGACGCCAAAACGGCGAUAUAGGCCCACCGUCAAUCCCGACGGCACGCAACAGUCCGGAACAGUUUAAACGCUGCUGUAAAAAUACACUCAGCAUCUCAGUACGAGCGUAACUGAAAUCUAAACUACCGAAAGUAUCCGCUACGCCGAUACUGUGACGAUACAAAAUAACAACGGCUCUAGAGCUAAAUCCGGUAGUUUAAGCAUGUGAUAGGCUCGAAUCGCAGGUUUUCUCCUAAGUCAUAUCCAAGUCCAACAUGUGCAAGUAGAUUUAGUAACA
rnacentral:lncRNA from 1 species